GACGAACGCUGGCGGCGUGCUUAACACAUGCAAGUCGAACGGAAAGGUCCUGCUUUUGUGGGGUGCUCGAGUGGCGAACGGGUGAGUAACACGUGAGUAACCUGCCCUUGACUUUGGGAUAACUUCAGGAAACUGGGGCUAAUACCGGAUAGGAGCUCCUGCUGCAUGGUGGGGGUUGGAAAGUUUCGGCGGUUGGGGAUGGACUCGCGGCUUAUCAGCUUGUUGGUGGGGUAGUGGCUUACCAAGGCUUUGACGGGUAGCCGGCCUGAGAGGGUGACCGGCCACAUUGGGACUGAGAUACGGCCCAGACGCCUACGGGAGGCAGCAGUGGGGAAUAUUGCGCAAUAGGCCGAAGCCUGAUACAGCAACGCCGCGUGCGGGAUGACGGCCUUCGGGUUGUAAACCGCUUUCGCCUGUAACGAACAGUGAGUGACGGUAAUUGAUAAGGAAGCAACGGCUAACUACGUG
rnacentral:rRNA from 1 species